GACGAACGCUGGCGGCGUGCUUAACACAUGCAAGUCGAACGGUGACCCAGGGCUUGCCCUGGUGAUCAGUGGCGAACGGGUGAGUAACACGUGGGCAACCUGCCCCUGACUUCGGGAUAACUCCUCGAAAGAGGAGCUAAUACCGGAUACGACCACUUCGGACAUCCGAUGGUGGUGGAAAGUUUUUCGGUCAGGGAUGGGCCCGCGGCCUAUCAGCUAGUUGGUGGGGUAAUGGCCUACCAAGGCGACGACGGGUAGCCGGCCUGAGAGGGCGACCGGCCACACUGGGACUGAGACACGGCCCAGACUCCUACGGGAGGCAGCAGUGGGGAAUAUUGCGCAAUGGGCGAAAGCCUGACGCAGCGACGCCGCGUGAGGGAUGAAGGCCUUCGGGUUGUAAACCUCUUUCAGCAGGACGAAGCAAAGUGACGGUACCUGCAGAAGAAGCACCGGCUAACUACGUGCCAGCAGCCGCGGUAAU
rnacentral:rRNA from 1 species